UGCAGUCGAGCGGACAGAAGGGAGCUUGCUCCCGGAUGUUAGCGGCGGACGGGUGAGUAACACGUGGGUAACCUGCCUGUAAGACUGGGAUAACUCCGGGAAACCGGAGCUAAUACCGGAUAGUUCCUUGAACCGCAUGGUUCAAGGAUGAAAGACGGUUUCGGCUGUCACUUACAGAUGGACCCGCGGCGCAUUAGCUAGUUGGUGGGGUAAUGGCUCACCAAGGCGACGAUGCGUAGCCGACCUGAGAGGGUGAUCGGCCACACUGGGACUGAGACACGGCCCAGACUCCUACGGGAGGCAGCAGUAGGGAAUCUUCCGCAAUGGACGAAAGUCUGACGGAGCAACGCCGCGUGAGUGAUGAAGGUUUUCGGAUCGUAAAGCUCUGUUGUUAGGGAAGAACAAGUGCGAGAGUAACUGCUCGCACCUUGACGGUACCUAACCAGAAAGCCACGGCUAACUACGUGCCAGCAGCCGCGGUAAUACGUAGGUGGCAAGCGUUGUCCGGAAUUAUUGGGCGUAAAGGGCUCGCAGGCGGUUUCUUAAGUCUGAUGUGAAAGCCCCCGGCUCAACCGGGGAGGGUCAUUGGAAACUGGGAAACUUGAGUGCAGAAGAGGAGAGUGGAAUUCCACGUGUAGCGGUGAAAUGCGUAGAGAUGUGGAGGAACACCAGUGGCGAAGGC
rnacentral:rRNA from 1 species